GACGUAGGGCGCGAGCGUUGUCCGGAUUUAUUGGGCGUAAAGAGCUCGUAGGCGGCUCGUUGCGUCGGCUGUGAAAACCCGCAGCUCAACUGUGGGCUUGCAGCUGAUACGGGCGGGCUGGGAUUCGGUAGGGGAGACUGGAAUUCCUGGUGUAGCGGUGAAAUGCGCAGAUAUCAGGAGGAACACCGGUGGCGAAAGCGGCUCUCUGGAACGGUACUGACGCUGAGACGCGAAAGCGUGGGGAGCGAACAGG
rnacentral:rRNA from 1 species